CAUCCAUAAGCCAUUGUGUGCGUGAGCGCUGUUUCUAUAAAAUUUCUUUUUGAGAUAGUAUAAAAUUGAUUUUAUUUUUUAGGAUUUGCCGGUCUUCUAAUUCAGAUGUGGUAAGCUUCUUUCCUCCUCUGUUGCAUCUAGACGAUCAAGUUGCUGGAGAAGAUCUUCCUUGAGCAUAAGAAUAUUACCAACCUUAGAGCGAUUCCAUGAUUUAAGUUGAAAGCGAAGUUUUUGAAGCUUCAGAACUAGAUUGGCCGCU
rnacentral:lncRNA from 1 species